GAGAGUCGUCCUGACUCCUGAUUAAAGAGAAGCUUACGGCAAAACUGAUGAAAGGGUCGAAGUUGUCCUCUCUUUUCCUUAUCAACUACUCUCCAAUGCAAACUCAAUUACCAAUACAGAGAAAGAGCCUCAGCUUAAUUUUGGCCUAUAAGUAUGAGAGGCAAGGAAAAGAGAAAGCUGUAAGGAAGAAAGUGAAAGGAUUGAGAGAUUCCGGUCAUAGGAGAGAUGACAGUGGCUGGGUUACAUUAUGUAUGCAUAGUCUCAGCUAGAGCCAUCCUUCUGUGACAUGAAACCCUUCAAUUGCUUCUAAGUGUGACACAAAGAAUGAUAGAUGAUGAUUCAAUUGAGAUGGGAAAGAGAAAUGAGGUUUCAAUGGAGCUUCCUGUUUCAAGAGAGGUGGUACCUAGUGCUCGAAAUACAGCAACAGGCACCACCUCCUUGGACGGGAUCUCCACUCCAACCUCAACUGUGCAUUGCUUCCUAUGGACAUUUCGCAUGUACGUCUUUCUUCUUAUAUCGAUUAGUAUUUUAAUCUAUAAUGUCCACUUUAUGAUAA